UAACAAGGAUUCCCCUAGUAACUGCGAGUGAAGCGGGAUGAGCUCAAAUUUAAAAUCUGUCAGCUUUCGCUGUCCGAGUUGUAAUCUAGAGAAGCAUUUUCUGUGAUGGACCGUGUACAAGUUUCUUGGAAUAGAACUUCAUAGAGGGUGAGAAUCCCGUCCAUGACACGGACUACCGUUACUUUGUGAUAUGCUCUCAAAGAGUCGAGUUGUUUGGGAAUGCAGCUCAAAAUGGGUGGUAAGUUCCAUCUAAAGCUAAAUAUUGGCGAGAGACCGAUAGCGAACAAGUACCGUGAGGGAAAGAUGAAAAGCACUUUGGAAAGAGAGUUAAACAGUACGUGAAAUUGUUGAAAGGGAAACGCUUGAAGUCAGUCGCGUUGCUUAGGACUCAGCCUUGCUUUUGCUUGGUGUACUUCCUAUGUAACGGGUCAACAUCAAUUUUGGUUGGUGGAUAAAGAUUGAAGGAAUGUGGCAUCUUAGGAUGUGUUAUAGCCUUCUUUCGUAUACACUGGCUGGGAUUGAGGUCUGCAGCACGCCUUUAUGGCCGGGGUUCGCCCACGUAUCGUGCUUAGGAUGUUGGCAUAAUGGCUUUAAGCGACCCGUCUUGAAACACGGACCAAGGAGUCUAACAUGCUUGCGAGUAUUAGAGUGGAAAACUCUUGUGCGUAAUGAAAGUGAAAGUUGGGACUCUUCGCGGAGGCACCGACGCCCGGCUCUGAAGUUUACUGACGAUGCUGCGGUAGAGCACGUAUGUUGGGACCCGAAAGAUGGUGAACUAUGCCUGAAUAGGGUGAAGCCAGGGGAAACUCUGGUGGAGGCUCGUAGCGAUUCUGACGUGCAAAUCGAUCGUCAAAUUUGGG
rnacentral:rRNA from 1 species